rnacentral:tRNA from 1 species
GUUUUAGUAAUUUAAUAAAAAUAUUGGUCUUGUAAAUCAAAUUUAAGAAACUUCUUCUAAAACU